rnacentral:rRNA from 1 species
GGGAAUCUACCCUGAACUGCGGAAUAGCUCCGGGAAACUGGAAUUAAUACCGCAUGUGCCCUGAGGGGCAAAGAUUUAUCGGUUCAGGAUGAGCCCGCGUCGGAUUAGCUAGUUGGUGGGGUAAUGGCCUACCAAGGCGACGAUCCGUAGCUGGUCUAAGAGGAUGAUCAGCCACAUUGGGACUGAGACACGGCCCAAACUCCUACGGGAGGCAGCAGUGGGGAAUAUUGGACAAUGGGCGCAAGCCUGAUCCAGCCAUGCCGCGUGAGUGAUGAAGGCCCUAGGGUUGUAAAGCUCUUUCAGUGGGGACGAUAAUGACGGUACCCACAGAAGAAGCCCCGGCUAACUUCGUGCCAGCAGCCGCGGUAAUACGAAGGGGGCUAGCGUUGUUCGGAAUUACUGGGCGUAAGGCGCACGUAGGCGGAUAUUUAAGUCAGGGGUGAAAUCCCGGGGCUCAACCCCGGAACUGCCUUUGAUACUGGAUGUCUUGAGUCCGGAAGAGGUGAGUGGAAUUGCGAGU